UACAGAGGGGGCAAGCGUUGUUCGGAAUUACUGGGCGUAAAGGGCGCGUAGGCGUCCUGUUAAGUCGGACGUGAAAUCCCUCGGCUCAACCGGGGAACUGCGUCCGAUACUGGCGGGCUUGAAUUCGGGAGAGGGAUGUGGAAUUCCAGGUGUAGCGGUGAAAUGCGUAGAGAUCCGGAGGAACCCCAGAGGCGAAGGCGGCAUCCUGGCCCACGACUGACACUCAGACACGACAGCAUGGGGAGCGAACGGG
rnacentral:rRNA from 1 species